rnacentral:rRNA from 1 species
AGAGUUUGAUCAUGGCUCAGAUUGAACGCUGGCGGCAGGCCUAACACAUGCAAGUCGAACGGUAACAGGAAGCAGCUUGCUGCUUCGCUGACGAGUGGCGGACGGGUGAGUAAUGUCUGGGAAGCUGCCUGAUGGAGGGGGAUAACUACUGGAAACGUUAGCUAAUACCGCAUAAUGUCGCAAGACCAAAGAGGGGGACCUUCGGGCCUCUUGCCAUCGGAUGUGCCCAGAUGGGAUUAGCUUGUUGGUGGGGUAACGGCUCACCAAGGCGACGAUCCCUAGCUGGUCUGAGAGGAUGACCAGCCACACUGGAACUGAGACACGGUCCAGACUCCUACGGGAGGCAGCAGUGGGGAAUAUUGCACAAUGGGCGCAAGCCUGAUGCAGCCAUGCCGCGUGUAUGAAGAAGGCCUUCGGGUUGUAAAGUACUUUCAGCGGGGAGGAAGGGAGUAAAGUUAAUACCUUUGCUCAUUGACGUUACCCGCAGAAGAAGCACCGGCUAACUCCGUGCCAGCAGCCGCGGUAAUACGGAGGGUGCAAGCGUUAAUCGGAAUUACUGGGCGUAAAGCGCACGCAGGCGGUUUGUUAAGUCAGAUGUGAAAUCCCCGGGCUCAACCUGGGAACUGCAUCUGAUACUGGCAAGCUUGAGUCUCGUAGAGGGGGGUAGAAUUCCAGGUGUAGCGGUGAAAUGCGUAGAGAUCUGGAGGAAUACCGGUGGCGAAGGCGGCCCCCUGGACGAAGACUGACGCUCAGGUGCGAAAGCGUGGGGAGCAAACAGGAUUAGAUACCCUGGUAGUCCACGCCGUAAACGAUGUCGACUUGGAGGUUGUGCCCUUGAGGCGUGGCUUCCGGAGCUAACGCGUUAAGUCGACCGCCUGGGGAGUACGGCCGCAAGGUUAAAACUCAAAUGAAUUGACGGGGGCCCGCACAAGCGGUGGAGCAUGUGGUUUAAUUCGAUGCAACGCGAAGAACCUUACCUGGUCUUGACAUCCACGGAAGUUUUCAGAGAUGAGAAUGUGCCUUCGGGAACCGUGAGACAGGUGCUGCAUGGCUGUCGUCAGCUCGUGUUGUGAAAUGUUGGGUUAAGUCCCGCAACGAGCGCAACCCUUAUCCUUUGUUGCCAGCGGUCCGGCCGGGAACUCAAAGGAGACUGCCAGUGAUAAACUGGAGGAAGGUGGGAUGACGUCAAGUCAUCAUGGCCCUUACGACCAGGGCUACACACGUGCUACAAUGGCGCAUACAAAGAGAAGCGACCUCGCGAGAGCAAGCGGACCUCAUAAAGUGCGUCGUAGUCCGGAUUGGAGUCUGCAACUCGACUCCAUGAAGUCGGAAUCGCUAGUAAUCGUGGAUCAGAAUGCCACGGUGAAUACGUUCCCGGGCCUUGUACACACCGCCCGUCACACCAUGGGAGUGGGUUGCAAAAGAAGUAGGUAGCUUAACCUUCGGGAGGGCGCUUACCACUUUGUGAUUCAUGACUGGGGUGAAGUCGGAACAAGGUA